rnacentral:lncRNA from 1 species
CGCUUACAGAGAAGGGAAAAGGUGAAGCUUGGUUCAUAGACGGAUUUACUCUUUAUGCGGUGCAAGCUAGAAAUGUAUUACUAUUGCAUUACAAACAUAUCUGGGAGUGGCCCUGAAAUACAGUAGGGGCAUGGGAAAUUCUCCCAGUGGACAAAGCUGUAGGAUUGAGUAAAAUAUACAUAUGAACUCAUAGACAGUGGUGAAUAUUUUGGCUGUCUGUUCAGGGGCAUAGAAAAUGAAAUAUUGGGCUGGACGCAUGUGGCUAGACCUAAGAAGCCUUAGAGAGCUUGAGUGUAAAUUGUGAAGAUCUUUGUAUCAAAUGGUUGUAAUAAUCCAUCAUGGAAUAAGCACUAAACAAUCAAGGAGAAGAACCAGCCAUCUUCUUCAUCCACCAACCACGUGCUGGCACAAUGAACAGCAUGAACAAUGAACAGCAUGACCAUGGCAGCAGGGAUGAAAGCUAUGCAUGGGCUCAACAAUGUGGCCUCCCUCUUACGAAGACUGAUCUAGCUCCUGCUAUUGCUGAAGAUUCAACCUGCUGGCAACAGAGACCAAAGGAAAUAGGACCAAUCAGAAUCCCAGAAAACCUGUCUGGAGUAAACUUAUAUGAAGCAAGUGAAUCCAAAAGGGACAAUGGUGAACUGCAGUGGAUGCCGUAGCUCAUUACCCAGAGUCCACCUUCUGGGACAGCAGUACCUAGCUGCUGGGAUUGUUGCCUGCUGAUGGCUCGCAGUUGAAUCACUCCCCUGCAAUUGCCUUCAAAAGGGAACUGCCGUGACCAUGGUUAUGCUCCGUUUCUAGUGGGGAAUUUCAUAUCCAAUUAGUGGUCUAUGUGUAGGCGCAAAGGUCCAGUCACCUCUACUAAUUCAGGAUAUCUCUGAAGCACUAUCUCAGCUUCAGAGCUCUCCAUGGGAGUGACUGAGACCUCAUAACACAGGAUAAGUGCUCCCUUUGCCUAAUCUUGCUUCCCUUACUUCAUUGGAGGUGUUGUUCCCAAGAUCAUUUCCAUAAAACAUUUGCACUCAG